AGCGAACGCUGGCGGCAGGCCUAACACAUGCAAGUCGAACGGAUCCUUCGGGAUUAGUGGCGGACGGGUGAGUAACACGUGGGAACGUGCCCUUUGGUUCGGAACAACUCAGGGAAACUUGAGCUAAUACCGGAUGUGCCCUUCGGGGGAAAGAUUUAUCGCCAUUGGAGCGGCCCGCGUCUGAUUAGCUAGUUGGUGAGGUAACGGCCCACCAAGGCGACGAUCAGUAGCUGGUCUGAGAGGAUGAUCAGCCACACUGGGACUGAGACACGGCCCAGACUCCUACGGGAGGCAGCAGUGGGGAAUCUUGCGCAAUGGGCGGAAGCCUGACGCAGCCAUGCCGCGUGAAUGAUGAAGGUCUUAGGAUUGUAAAAUUCUUUCAGCGGGGACGAUAAUGACGGUACCCGCAGAAGAAGCUCCGGCUAACUUCGUG
rnacentral:rRNA from 1 species